GGCGGACGGGUGAGUAAUACGUAGGAAUCUGCCAUCAAUGGGGGACAACUACGCGAAAGCGUAGCUAAUACCGCAUAAUCUCCUUACCUUAGGGUAAGGAGCAAAGGGGCCGCAAGGUCUCGCUUUUUGAUGAGCCUACGUCAGAUUAGCUAGUUGGUAGGGUAAAGGCCUACCAAGGCGACGAUCUGUAGCUGGUUUGAGAGAACGACCAGCCACACUGGAACUGAGACACGGUCCAG
rnacentral:rRNA from 1 species